rnacentral:rRNA from 1 species
UACGGGGGGGGCAAGCGUUGUUCGGAAUUACUGGGCGUAAAGGGCUCGUAGGCGGCCAACUAAGUCGGACGUGAAAUCCCCAGGCUCAACCUGGGAACUGCGUCCGAUACUGGAUGGCUUGAAUUCGGGAGAGGGAUGCAGAAUUCCAGGUGUAGCGGUGAAAUGCAUAGAUAUCUUCAAGAACACCGAUUGCGAAGGCAGCUUACUAAGCUUUAACUGACACUGAGGCACGAAAGCGUGGGGAUCAAACAGG